GUUGAUCGCUGAGAAAUAUGGGAAUUUGAGAAAUUUACUAAUAAAAAUAGAGUUUCUUUUUCAUUUAUUUACACCUUAGAGACAGCUGUCAAAAUAAUAAAUUCGUGAGAACUGUUGAAUAAGUUUCAAACUAGUCCCACUGUGGCUCUGAAAAAACAAUCAACGAAACCAAUUUCUCAAACUUAAAUGCUCUUCAGAAUCAGAAACAGAAGCGCAUAAAUUUUAGCCCACAACGUAUAAAAAAUGAGGCAAAAUAAAACUAAAAGCCAGAGUUUGCCAGAUUCACCAAUGAUGAGACGACGGACGGGGCCACAUACUUUAAAGUCACUGGCCAAAUAAAUGGAUGAUGAACCAGGCGCGAAACGAAACGAAACGAAACUGCAUAAAUAAAUAUUCGAAAAAGCAAAGGGCUGGCGAUGAUUUUUGUUUUUGGCACUGAAACCGCACAAUGGAACCGCAACGGCAAUGGAAACCACAGUGACUGCAGGAAUAGGAAUAGGCUCAAAGGCAAGGCAAGGAUUUUUGCAAAACAGGCAGGUGGGAGAGUUUGGUCUGUGAGUGCUGCCAAAUUAGCUGCUACUGUCUGGUCUGAGUCUCUCCACCUUGUGCUUUGCCGCAAGCAAAAUUUGGAACAUCAUUAAUUUUAAUUUUUGCGCAGACGCGCCCUGGGGGCUAUUUUCAAGGGUUCAGGUUUUGUGGUCCCAGAUUGGUCUCUGGACAGAAUGCAAGCUUCGCUGCGUUCUGGACAUGUAACUGUCUGUGUAUGUGUGUGUGUGUGUGUGUGUGUGUGUGGAUGAGUGAUGGCGCGUCUGCGGGCGUGUCAACAUUGUUGUGUGUGUCGCAAUUAAGGUAAAUGGAAAUGUUGCAACGCUGCCUCAGCCACUGCCAACGGCUUGACAAAUUCCAUUGCCGCUGAUUGAUCACCGAAAUGGAACUUACCUUUUUAAAGCGCCGCCGCUGCUGCUGUUGAGAUUGCGAUUGGGAGUGCGUCGAGCCCGUUUCGAGCUGGUUAUCAGCACUGUUGUCUCGCUUACCCAGCGCCUGCAGCAGAUCAUCCACAUUGCGUAUAUAGGGCCUAUCGUGCUCCCGCUCUCUGGAACGCUCUGCGCUGCCUCCCAUGCAGCUGGUGAUGCUCUUGUUGCCCAGACUAUUGCUGCGAGAGCGCGAGCGAGAACGUGAGCGCUGCUUGCCCAGCAAAUACACCUGAUUUGCCAAAUUGAUAUCGGCGGCAGCCGCUUGACGUGCACAACGUCUGCCCGCCAUCGCCUGUUGUUCGGGAGUUUGUGCCUGGGUCUGUUCGCUGGCCAGAUAUUCACCAGCAAUGUGCACCUUGGGUGUGCUGACCAAUUGCAGGCCGGUGGCGCCAAAUUGUUGCGGGAACUCGUGCAGCUCGAGGGGGAAACGCGGAUCCAUGGGCUGGCCAGGUUGGCGUGGAUACAUGUACCCAUCGCGGAGAAACAUUUUGUUCGUAGUGUACACACGAUCCUCGAUCUGAUAGAGGCCAUUGGUGCCGGGACCUUGGCCACCGCCGAUGAUGCCAUUCCGAACAUAGGCAGCGGGUCGAAAGCGCACUAGAGGAUUGUAAAUGUUCGCUUUGGGUUGAGGUGGUUUCGUUUUGAAGCUGCGACGUCGUGUUGAGGGCUUCAUUUUG